GCGUUGCCCUCUCUGUUCGGCGUUGUGUUGUGAUGCUUCUUCUGUAAUGUUCUUUCUCCCACAUUGUUGGAAGCAACUUGGGAUCUCCUGUAAUUACCAGUACUGAUGGUGCAUUGCUUGGUGGCCAGGGAAUUGGGCAAAUCACAUUUCCAGCUUUCUCUGCAAUUCACUGUUUCCCACAUACAAUCAGUACUUUGCAAGCUUCUGAGUACCCAGGUCCCAGGUCCACCCGAAGCUACUGAGCCUGAAUCAUCAACAUUUUACAGAGAUGUGUGAGGCAUGAUGAACUGAGUGAUCCUCCAGAAUGCCCUGAGCACAAGUACACUGUGAGCAUUCUAUGUCCCCUGUAUGGAUGACAUUGGACAGGGCUACCUGAGAUGACGAUUAGUUGUGCUGAGCCCUUCUGAUCGCCAUUUCUCAAUUACUGUCAACAAGGGGCCACACAUUAAGUGAAUGCUUCAGAAAAGUGGUUGUCUCUCAUUUGUCUAAGGGAAGUUUUUAUGUGGGCAUAAUAUGAUAUUAUUCAUAGUUUAACACAGCCAUGCUAAACUAUAAAUUUACUUUCUUCUUUCUGUAAACAUCAUAGAUACUCACUGAAAGGAAAGGGCAAACUACACAAUUGAAAUAGUAGCACAUCGUGUAACACACUGGUGUUGACCUAUAAAUAGCUGGGCGACAUAUGAAUUGUUUGACUUUGAAAUACUUGUCUAUAUAGAUAAGUAGAUAAGACAUGUGUAUGUAUAAUUACAUACGUACACAUAUUUAAGUAAUAUGUAUAUGAAUAUGUGUAUAUUGGUUGUCUUUGCACUGAAGGAUGUAAGCUGGCUUACAAUGGGGCCCCAAUAUGGUGAAAUAAAAGGCAUUAAUGACUUGAAACAAAAGAAAAAUUAUGAGUAGAAAAAUCAAGAUGGGCUGGAAACAUUCUGUGAUAUUUUUUAUCUUGUCUUUAAAGUAACUGUACAUAAAACAAAGGUCACUGUUUUUCCCAUUUUUCUUUUCUUUUUGCUAAUUAUACUUAAUUGGUAAAACUACUGUUUUAAAAUCAUUGAUGUAAUCCUACUACAUGUACAUAUAUGUUUUUCUCUUUGGGAGUUUCUAUUUCUCUUAAAUCCCCUUUAAUAUUAUGAAAUGAAAGUGCAAACUAUUAAAAUUGGAAUAGUACAUAUCUGCUUUGUUUCUAAAACCAGAUAAUUUAAUCCUCUGACUGUUAUACAAAUUAUGAUUGGAGGCGUGUCUUAUAUAGGUUGCUAUUUAAUGGGAAAUGUGGAAAUAAUUUUAAACCCUAAAAUGAAGUUUCUAGCUACAUAUUCUGAAUGUGAACAAUUAACGUGAAUGUUAAUUUGUUCCUCCCUUUAUCUACACACGCAGCCGUCCACCUGUCUAUCCACAAUGUAUUAAUGAAAUGCUUUGUAUGUACAGUGUAAGAGUAGCUGCAUGUUUUUAAGCUUUUGCCACAGCCUUAGUUUUCAUGGAUAAUGCUGACAAUACUGACCCUGACAUAGCUGAUGGCAGAAUUAUACUCUUGUCACCAUCCUAGACUGAUAUACUUUAUCAAAAGGAUGCUUGUAUUUUUCACAUUAAUGCAGUAUUUAAACAGUACAUUCUGCAAGUGUUAUAAAAUGUUUUUAGCCAUUAUAGUCCUAUGAUAUUUCAUGGUGAGAGCAAUGGCUCCAGACUGUCCAUUUUUUUUUUCUAAGUGGCACAGCCUAGUCUUAAACAUGUGCCUUUUAAGAGCUCCUUAAAUGCAGUGAUGGUUAGACUUUGUCAACUUGCAUCCAGGCUCAUCUGCUAAUGAAUUUCCUGGGCUGCUUUGACCUUCAGACAUGCCUACAUUGAUUGAUUGUUCUCUGCGCUUGUAUGGAGAUGAUAAGACAAGGUGUUUCUAGUUCCUGCCAGCUUGGCCUUCUCACAGCGAUGCGCCACAACCUGCAAUUGUUUGCUAAAAUGAACCCUUUUCUCCUACACUGUUUUCACCAAAUCAUGUUAUCAUAGGAACUAGACAGAAAACCAAGACAGCUGCCUUCAUUUUGCUAGCACACAGACCUUGGGCACAGCUUUUGUGAAGGCAAGUUGUCUGUGUUGUGUUACACCUGAUAUUGGAAAGGCACUGUCUCAACAGCCCAAGAAUGAACAGUGAGAUGGCCUGAUGUAUCCUGCUCUAAAGAGCAAAGGCCUUGAGGCUACAGAGAUGUAGGCCUACUCCAGUGCUAUCUUUCUUGACUCUUUUCUGAUUUGGACAGACUUUUACCAUUGUAAAGCACUGAGGAUAUUUUAUCAUUUCUAUUUCAGACAUUAUUAAACACUUGUCUUUCACACUGGUGCAUAUUUUCCAGUGAAAUGGAGUGAAAAUGUUUUUAAGUUGUACUUAUCAAGCUAGCUGGCAGUUCCUUCAUGUGUUAAGUUUCUUUUCUAAAGUUAUUAUCAGCACCUCAGAUGAAGAGUGACAUUUCAUUUUGGUCCCCAGUAUCCAGCGUGCUACUUGCUGCAUAGGGCUCAGUAAGUAACCACUGGAUUUAGGAUGUGCUAAGAUUAGUCAGGCUUCUGUUCUUAUUUUCAUUGCCAGCCUCUAUUUGUAGCUCUCUCCUCCCAUACACAAAAAUUUGCUGUGAUUUUUUACAAAUAGGCAAAAAGCAAAACGCC
rnacentral:lncRNA from 1 species